rnacentral:lncRNA from 1 species
CCGCCUGACUAACAGAAUUCACAGAAGUCUGCACACAAGUAAAAAAAAAAAAAAUUAUAAGUGAUUAUUCCCUGAAAAUAUUUAAAUAACUAUGAGGAAGGAAAAAUACUGUGUGAUCUGAAUCUUUGGCGAAGGGUAUUUUUUUCUAUCUAUUGCUACACAACAAAACACUUGACAACAUAUUGGCACAAAACAAAAUUUUAUUAUGUCUCUUCAUUCUGUGCGUUGACUGAGUAUAACUUGGUAGAUCUUACUCGGGUAUCAAGUGUGACUGCUGUCAUAUUUCACAGGAGCUGAUGUCUGAAGGACUGAGUCAGCUGCAUGUCUGUGCUGGCUCAAUCCCAUGGCGGCCAGUUGAUGUGGCCAUGAGCUGGGCCCCCCUGUAACCGACUUAUGUGGUCUGGUCUUCUAGUAUGGAAGCUUGGUUCCAACUGGAAACACCAGAAGAGACUCAGGAAGAUGCGGUAGUCAAAGAGUAUAACAUGAAGACAGAAAAUGGAGAGGUUGAUACAGUGUAAUCAUAUCUAUUGAUAUUGAUGGACUCUGGUUGGAGCACUGCAUAUAUUGUGAAGAGAAGCCACCCAGCUCUUCCCUUGCCCAUCACACUGACUGGCGAGCUUACAGGUCAACCCCUUCACUCAUAUCUGAUGUCAUCGCCUUCGGCUAAGAGGACCCUAAGUUAAGGAAACCUGUGCGGACGUUCCCCAUUGUCCACAUAUGACCAUGCAGUGGAGCACGCUUUGCCAGGUGACCAUGGAGGUGAGAAGUUAAAGUUUGCCGGCAGUGGAACAGAUGCUGUUAAAUCUCAAGUGCAUUUUCAGCCUCCUCCUAUGCUGAAAUGUGUUUAUUUCAAUUGGUCUGGCUUGCAAAUUUCCAAUAGGCAACAAGGAACGGGCCGGCUUCAAUCUCUAUCAAACUUUGGAGCAUAGGGAUAUCUUCUUUCCCACAAUCUAUGUUGCUUUUGUUGAAGAGCUUCUCAUUCCCUGUCCUAAGUAAACAGUCACGUGUUGUCCAUUAAAUGCGGAACAGAGCUUCCUCACUGAGUGUCACAUUCUUGGCUGGACUUGCAAAGCAUCCAGAUGUAAUUUGAAAGACGUAAUUCAAAAAUCAUGGAGAACAAAAGUUCUGCUAAAAUCUGACAAGAUUGGAAUUCCA